rnacentral:rRNA from 1 species
GGACUACCAGGGUAUCUAAUCCCAUUCGCUCCCCACGCUUUCGUCCUAGCAGUGUCAGGUGGCACCCAGAAGCCUGCCUUCGCUAUUGGUGUUCCGAACGAUAUCAACGCAUUUCACUACUACACCGUUCGUUCCAGCUUCCUCUUUGCCCCUCUAGCCUGGAAGUUUCGACUGACAGUUCCAAAGUUGAGCCUUGGAAUUUCACAGUCGACUUUCCAAACCACCGAUCGGUACGCUUUACGCCCAAUGAUUCCGGAUAACGCUUGAGGUCUCUGUAUUACCGCGGCGGCUGGCAC